rnacentral:rRNA from 1 species
UGGGGAAUUUUGGACAAUGGGCGCAAGCCUGAUCCAGCAAUGCCGCGUGCAGGAAGAAGGCCUUCGGGUUGUAAACUGCUUUUGUACGGAACGAAAAGGCUCUGGUUAAUACCUGGGGCCCAUGACGGUACCGUAAGAAUAAGCACCGGCUAACUACGUGCCAGCAGCCGCGGUAAUACGUAGGGUGCAAGCGUUAAUCGGAAUUACUGGGCGUAAAGCGUGCGCAGGCGGUUUUGUAAGACAGGCGUGAAAUCCCCGGGCUCAACCUGGGAAUUGCGCUUGUGACUGCAAAGCUGGAGUGCGGCAGAGGGGGAUGGAAUUCCGCGUGUAGCAGUGAAAUGCGUAGAUAUGCGGAGGAACACCGAUGGCGAAGGCAAUCCCCUGGGCCUGCACUGACGCUCAUGCACGAAAGCGUGGGGAGCAAACA